UACGUAGGGUGCAAGCGUUAAUCGGAAUUACUGGGCGUAAAGCGUGCGCGAGGCGGUUUUGUAAGUUUGUCGUGAAAGCCCCGGGCUCAACCUGGGAAUUGCGAUGAAGACUGCAAGGCUUGAAUCUGGCAGAGGGGGGUAGAAUUCCACGUGUAGCAGUGAAAUGCGUAGAGAUGUGGAGGAACACCGAUGGCGAAGGCAGCCCCCUGGGUCAAGAUUGACGCUCAUGCACGAAAGCGUGGGGAGCAAACAGG
rnacentral:rRNA from 1 species